CGGCGGACGGGUGAGUAACACGUGGGCAACCUGCCUGUAAGACUGGGAUAACUUCGGGAAACCGGAGCUAAUACCGGAUAACACCGAGGACCUCAUGGUCCUUGGUUGAAAGAUGGCUUCGGCUAUCACUUACAGAUGGGCCCGCGGCGCAUUAGCUAGUUGGUGAGGUAACGGCUCACCAAGGCGACGAUGCGUAGCCUACCUGAGAGGGUGAUCGGCCACACUGGGACUGAGACACGGCCCAGACUC
rnacentral:rRNA from 1 species